AACGUAGGAUGCAAGCGUUAUCCGGAUUUACUGGGCAUAAAGCGCGUGUAGGCGGUUUGGUAAGUUGGAUGUGAAAGCUCCUGGCUUAACUGGGAGAGGUCGUUCAAUACUGCCAAGCUUGAGGAUGGUAGAGGGAGGUGGAAUUCCGAGUGUAGUGGUGAAAUGCGUAGAUAUUCGGAGGAACACCAGUGGCGAAAGCGGCCUCCUGGACCAUUUCUGACGCUCAGACGCGAAAGCUAGGGUAGCAAACGGGAUUAGAGACCCCGGUAGUCCUAGCCGUAAACGAUGUAGACUUGGCGUCGGCGGGUUUAAAUCCGUCGGUGUCGAAGCUAACGCGAUAAGUCUACCGCCUGGGGACUACGGCCGCAAGGUUAAA
rnacentral:rRNA from 1 species